rnacentral:rRNA from 1 species
AACGCGAAGAACCUUACCGGGGCUUGACAUCCUGUGACAUUCUAGGAGACUAGACUUUCGAGUAAUCGAACACAGAGACAGGUGCUGCAUGGCUGUCGUCAGCUCGUGCCGUGAGGUGUUGGGUUAAGUCCCGCAACGAGCGCAACCCUUGUCGUGUGUUGGUCAGCAAUGAUCUCUCACGCGAGACCGCCGGUAACAAACCGGGAGGAAGGUGGGGAUGACGUCAAGUCAGCAUGGCCCUUACGUCCCGGGCUACACACGUGCUACAAUGGGGAGGACAGCGAGUCGCGAUCCCGCGAGGGCUAGCUAAUCUCUUAAACCUCUCCUCAGUUCGGAUUGAAGGCUGCAACUCGCCUUCAUGAAGUCGGAAUCGCUAGUAAACGCAGAUCAGCUACGCUGCGUUGAAUACGUUCCCGGGCCUUGUACACACCGGUACUA